UACAGACGUGUGAGAAUUGAGAGAUCCU
rnacentral:piRNA from 1 species